rnacentral:rRNA from 1 species
UACGGGGGGAGCAAGCGUUGUUCGGAUUUACUGGGCGUAAAGGGCGCGUAGGCGGCACUGCAAGUCAGUUGUGAAAUCUCCGGGCUUAACCCGGAAAGGUCAACUGAUACUGCAGGGCUAGAGUGCAGAAGGGGCAACUGGAAUUCUCGGUGUAGCGGUGAAAUGCGUAGAUAUCGAGAGGAACACCUGCGGCGAAGGCGGGUUGCUGGGCUGACACUGACGCUGAGGCGCGAAAGCCGGGGGAGCGAACGGG